UUUAGCAUGGAAUAAUAGAAUAGGACUCUAGGCCUGUUCGUUGGUUGGGGCAGAGAGUAAUGAUUAACAGAAACAGUUGGGGGCGUUUGUAUUUAAUUGUCAGAGGUGAAAUUCUUGGAUUUAAGAAAGACAAACCUAUGCGAAAGCAUUCGCCAAGGAUGUUUUCAUUGAUCAAGAACGAAAGUUAAGGGAUCGAAGACGAUCAGAUACCGUCGUAGUCUUAACUAUAAACGAUGCCGACCAGGGAUUGGGAGACGUUACAUGGAUGACUCCCCCAGCACCUUGUGAGAAAUCACAAGUCUUUGGGUUCCGGGGGGAGUAUGGUCGCAAGGCUGAAACUUAAAGGAAUUGACGGAAGGGCACACCAGGAGUGGAGCCUGCGGCUUAAUUUGACUCAACACGGGGAAACUCACCAGGUCCAGACAUAGUAAGGAUUGACAGAUUGAAGCUCUUUCUUGAUUCUAUGGGUGGUGGUGCAUGGCCGUUCUUAGUUGGUGGAGUGAUUUGUCUGGUUAAUUCCGUUAACGAACGGGACCUCAGCCUGCUAACUAGUCAGGUGAAUGUUCUAAUGGGUGAAGCAUCAGAGUCGCUUAUGAGUUUCGGCUUGUGAGUACUCGGGUGGGGAUCCUUGAGCGAUUCGCCUGUACUUCUUAGAGGGACUAUUUAUGUCUAAUAAAUGGAAGCUUGAGGCAAUAACAGGUCUGUGAUGCCCUUAGAUGUUCUGGGCUGCACGCGCGCUACACUGAUUGGCACAGAGAGUUUUUCCUGGCUCGAUGGGGCUGGGUAAUCUGCUAAAGCUAGUCGUGAUGGGGAUAGAGCAUUGCAAUA
rnacentral:rRNA from 1 species